rnacentral:rRNA from 1 species
AGCCUGCCCAGUGACUAAUGUUCAACGGCCGCGGUAUCCUAACCGUGCGAAGGUAGCGUAAUCACUUGUUCUUUAAAUAAGGACUAGUAUGAAUGGCACCACGAGGGUUAUACUGUCUCCUUUCUCUAAUCAGUGAAACUAAUCUCCCCGUGAAGAAGCGGGGAUAUUUCUAUAAGACGAGAAGACCCUAUGGAGCUUUAAACUUCUUUUCAAACGCUGAAAUAUUAAUACAAGUCUCAGACUUACCCCUACACCCACCCAAGCGCCAUGAGAACGAUUUUAGGUUGGGGUGACCACGGAGCACAAAAAAACCUCCACGCUGAACUAGACGUCCAAACCUUGAGCUAAGAGCUACAACCCAACGCACUAAAAAAUUAACACCAAUUGACCCAAUAUUCAUUUGAUCAACGAACCAAGUUAC